AGUGCAAAGAAUAUAUUUGCAUAUCUUUACAUGAUAAAUGAACUUAAUCAUAUUUAUAUAAACAACAGCGUCUAGGCAGCGUCUAGGCAUUUUGUUAUUCUUUGAAACAUACAGUCGGACAAUAUGUAUAGAUAUCUGUUUGCAACGCUCGUGGUGUUUUACCUGGUACGUUCGUUCGCAGACGGUUAUCCUGGGCCGUGUGGACUUUGUGUUGGCGAUCCAUGUGAUGACAGCCUAGAAAAAGGAGAUGAGUGCGCAGACGGCAAAACUUGUCAGGAAUGUUACGUAGGCGUAGUCUGCAGUCUGGUUUGUAGUCAAACUGAUGAUAGCUCCGAAAAAAAAUAACGUAAAGAACCUGAUAAGAGACAUUCUACCAGACUUAUGCUUUUGUUUGAAAUAUAGAAAUAACUUUCAUUUGAUAUACUAACAGUAAAGAGAAAAUAUUUAUUUUGUUAUUUGCAGUGUUUAAAAUAUAAACUUUGUUGAGUUCUGUAAAAAGAUGUUUUCGUAAAUUAGACACACAGUAGAAAUGUGAUGUUAACCCUAAAUGAAUGAAGUUGUCUUCUCUGCAUCAAACGUAUCAACUUUAAUUUCUUUUAUAAUGUUUUAGAUAUUGUAUAAUUGUUCAUUUAUCAUGUUUGUUUAACGAAGUUCGAAAAUUGUGCAAAAGGAAUUACUAGUCCUCUUGUAGUAUACCACCGAUGAAUAAUAAUUGUUUUACCGUCUUCUAGAAUGACCAAUAUCUGACAACCCUGUUGUACAAAGGACAAAUCUUAAUGGUGUAAUUUCAUACUUUUACGCAUGUAAUAAAAUGUUAUGUACCAUUAAUUGAUUUGAAGUUUGUUUUUUUCAAAAUUAUGCGAGUUCAUAAUUUGUAUUCUGAUUUAUUUAACAUCUUGUGUGUCCGUUUUCUGUUUUUACCUGAAAAUGAAACUAAAGUUAUCUAUAGAUAAUUAAAUGGCGUGCAAUUAAAAGCAUAAAACUACACUUAUGUACAGAUUAUCAUUCCCUCUACAUGAGGAAAAGGAUUGAUAUAAAGAUAUAUUCCGAAGACUAUUAUUAAUUAACAUUAAGUUAUGCUAUUUUACCACCGACAGCGAAGUUAUAAGGGAGUAUACUGGCUUCCGGAUGUCCGUCCGUCCGUCCGUCUGUUCAUCCGUACGCACCAACUCUCCUCAUCCCCUUGACACUAAUUAAUGAAACUUUACAAAAGUGAUUAGUAACAACAGUAGUUGUGCAUGGUGCGUGUUAGGUUCUUUCAGAUAUUGUUUGCAGAAUUGCGCGUCUAAUCUCCUAAACCGAUGCACACGAUUUAAUGAAACUUAACACAGUAGUAACCCUAGUUGUGCAUGUUGCAUGUUAGAUCCUUUCAGAAAAAAAAUCUGCAGAGUUAUGGGACUUUGAUUUUUGUUAAUAUGAUAUAUACAAACAGUUUGCAUAUGCAGUCUUGUGCGCGCCUAAUCUCCCGAACCUUUGUAACACAAUGAUAGCUCGCAAGUCAGUUUUUAGUUAAUUAAUCAUUGUGUUUAUUUUAUCUGUUAUUGAUUUUGGUAGAUAAUCCUGAUAAUUCUUACAAAUGAUACGCAUUCUGUUUACAUGCGUAGGUCAUUGUUGGUAUUUACUACUCCAGCAAAUUUCGUAACAUCGGAGUGUUUUAUCCAUUAAGUUUUGGCCUAAUUGACUUUGUUUACUAUUAUUACCGGUCAGAUAUUGAGAAAUUCUCAAAAGAAAUUUAUUUGGUCAGCCUUAAUUACUUUAUUUUUGUUUUCGAUGGAAUUUUCAUUAAUUGGUCAGAAAUGUUAAUUACUUUGUUUACCUGUUCAGCAUAUUGUUGUUGUUUACAAUUUAUACAAAAUGAAUCACCGUUGAAUGUAUUAUCUAUUAGAUUUGACCCUAAUUACUUUGUUUGUUUCGGUAACUGUCAUUUAUUUACGAAAAUACACAAUGGUGAUUGAUUCUA